rnacentral:rRNA from 1 species
UUAGAUGCGAGAGUAGAGCAUAUCAAUAAGCGGAGGAAAAGAAACUAACAAGGAUUCCCUUAGUAACGGCGAGUGAAGCGGGAAGAGCUCAAAUUUGAAAUCUUCAAGGUUCUACCUUGACGAAUUGUAGUUUAUAGAAGUGUUUUCUGUUAGUAGAGUGGCAAAAGUUCUUUGGAAUAGGACAUCAUAGAGGGUGAGAAUCCCGUAUUUGGUCAUUCUUUCUAGCUUUGUGAUACACUUUCAACGAGUCGGAUUGUUUGGGAAUGCAGUCCAAAAUGGGUGGUAAAUUUCAUCUAAAGCUAAAUAUUGGCGAGAGACCGAUAGCGAACAAGUACCGUGAGGGAAAGAUGAAAAGAACUUUGAAAAGAGAGUUAAACAGUACGUGAAAUUGUCAAAAGGGAAGCGUUUGACACCAGUGUUGUUUUUCCGAAAAUCAAUUACGAAUGUUUUGUUUUUGAGGAGUUAUGACUUCAUCGGCUUGCUUCUCUCUUUACGAAACUUUCUUAAUGCACUUUUCGGUUAACAAGUCAACAUCAAUUUCUUUUGUUGUAAAAGGGUAUGAGGAAGGUGGCUUUCUUUUCGGAGAAAGUGUUUAUAGCCUUGUAGCCUCUGCAAUCGGAGAGAUUGAGGUCUGCAGCGUAGAUCCUUCGGGGUUAGAUACAUUUGUGCUAAGUUAUAGCUUUUCAUAGACAACUUGUUGACUAUGUUAAGUCUUGUAGCUUACUCGCUUAUGCUAUUUUACCUACGCUUAGGAUGUUGACACACGCGCGUGCUCG